GUGAGGAAUUUUCCGCAAUGGGCGAAAGCCUGACGGAGCAAUGCCGCGUGAAGGAUGAAGGCCUAUGGGUUGUAAACUUCUUUUCUCAGAAAAGAAUUAUGACGGUAUCUGAGGAAUAAGCAUCGACUAACUCUGUGCCAGCAGCCGCGGUAAGACAGAGGAUGCAAGCGUUAUCCGGAAUGAUUGGGCGUAAAGCGUCUGUAGGUUGUUUAAAAAGUAUUCUGUCAAAGAUUAGGGCUUAACCCUAGAUAGGCAGAAUAAACUUUUAAGCUAGAGUUUGGUAGAGGCAGAGGGAAUUCCCGGUGGAGCGGUGAAAUGCGUAGAUAUCGGGAGGAACACCAAAGGCGAAGGCACUCUGCUGGGCCAAUACUAACACUGAGAGACGAAAGCGAGGGGAGCAAAUGGGAUUAGAUACCACUGUAGUCC
rnacentral:rRNA from 1 species